CCUACGGGUGGCAGCAGUCGAGAAUUAUUCACAAUGGGGGAAACCCUGAUGGUGCGACGCCGCGUGGGGGAAUGAAGGUCUUCGGAUUGUAAACCCCUGUCAUGUGGGAGCAAAUUAAAAAGAUAGUACCACAAGAGGAAGAGACGGCUAACUCUGUGCCAGCAGCCGCGGUAAUACAGAGGUCUCAAGCGUUGUUCGGAAUCACUGGGCGUAAAGCGUGCGUAGGCUGUUUCGUAAGUCGUGUGUGAAAGGCGCGGGCUCAACCCGCGGACGGCACAUGAUACUGCGAGACUAGAGUAAGGGAGGGGGAACCGGAAUUCUCGGUGUAGCAGUGAAAUGCGUAGAUAUCGAGAGGAACACUCGUGGCGAAGGCGGGUUCCUGGACAGUAACUGACGCUGAGGCACGAAGGCCAGGGGAGCGAAAGGGAUUAGAUACCCCAGUAGUC
rnacentral:rRNA from 1 species